rnacentral:rRNA from 1 species
CCUACGGGGUGCAGCAGUGAGGAAUAUUGGUCAAUGGACGCAAGUCUGAACCAGCCAUGCCGCGUGCAGGAAGACGGCUCUAUGAGUUGUAAACUGCUUUUGUACGAGGGUAAACGCAGAUACGUGUAUCUGUCUGCAAGUAUCGUACGAAUAAGGAUCGGCUAAUUCCGUGCCAGCAGCCGCGGUAAUACGGAGGAUUCAAGCGUUAUCCGGAUUUAUUGGGUUUAAAGGGUGCGUAGGCGGUCGGAUAAGUUAGAGGUGAAAUCCCGAGGCUCAACUUCGGAAGUGCAUCUGAUACUGUUCGGCUAGAGAGUAGUUGCGGUAGGCGGAAUGUAUGGUGUAGCGGUGAAAUGCUUAGAGAUCAUGCAGAACACCGAUUGCGAAGGCAGCUUACCAUGCUACUUCUGACGUUGAGGCACGAAGGCGUGGGUAGCAAACAGGAUUAGAUACCCGAGUAGUC